UACGUAGGCAGCAAGCGUUGUUCGGAGUUACUGGGCGUAAAGGGUGUGUAGGCGGUUCUUUUAAGUUUGGUGUGAAAUCUCCCGGCUCAACUGGGAGGGUGCGCCGAAUACUGAGGGACUAGAGUACGGGAGAGGAAAGUAGGAAUUCCUGGUGUAGCGGUGAAAUGCGUAGAUAUCAGGAGGAACACCUGUGGCGAAAGCGGCUCACUGGACCACAACUGACGCUGAUGCACGAAAGCUAGGGGAGCAAACAGG
rnacentral:rRNA from 1 species